AUUGAACGCUGGCGGCAUGCCUUACACAUGCAAGUCGAACGGCAGCACGGGUGCUUGCACCUGGUGGCGAGUGGCGAACGGGUGAGUAAUACAUCGGAACAUGUCCUGUAGUGGGGGAUAGCCCGGCGAAAGCCGGAUUAAUACCGCAUACGAUCUACGGAUGAAAGCGGGGGACCUGCGGGCCUCGCGCUAUAGGGUUGGCCGAUGGCUGAUUAGCUAGUUGGUGGGGUAAAGGCCUACCAAGGCGACGAUCAGUAGCUGGUCUGAGAGGACGACCAGCCACCCUGGGACUUAGACACGGCCCAGACUCCUACGGGAGGCAGCAGUGGGGAAUUUUGGACAAUGGGCGAAAGCCUGAUCCAGCAAUGCCGCGUGUGUGAAGAAGGCCUUCGGGUUGUAAAGCACUUUUGUCCGGAAAGAAAUCCUUGGCCCUAAUACGGUCGGGGGAUGACGGUACCGGAAGAAUAAGCACCGGCUAACUACGUG
rnacentral:rRNA from 1 species